UCAUCUGUUUAAGGUAUGUGUAUCUUCUCUCUUUAGUAUUAUUUCACUUGUAUUUUUGUAGUGAAAUAAAAAUAUUGGUUGUGUUCGAGGAGUAGCAAAAGUUGGCCGAACCUCGUUAAAUUCUGGUGUUCCUUUUAUUAUUGUUUUAUUGUCUUAUUUAUUAUUUAAUGGCUGCUAAAAAAUAGUAUAGUAGUUGUGACUCAUUCACACUAUAUACAUUUGGCUUCCGCAACACUAUUAAGCACUCAUUCCUCUUUAAGAUAUUCGAUCUUUAAAGUUCAAAUGAGAAUUAAUUGGAGAAGAAAUCAUCCGAUUUGAUAUUAAUCUUUACUUUAGGAGUUUAAAUGAAACAGAAUUAUUUAAGAUAUUUUCUCUGUUCUCAAAUAUGAUUUACUGAGGUACUCGUCUAAUAUUCCUUUACACUUCGUGUUUCUUGUUAACAAAUUCCACUAUUGAAAAAUAAAAGGCUGAAUGAAUAACUUAAAUAUCUAAUCCUAUUUUUACAAUUUAUAACUACGCCAGAAAGCUCAUCCUUUUCACCAAUUUUUUUUUCAAACUAAUCUAGCAUGAAAGACCCUCUAAUUUGACUUUCAAAUUUAAUAAGGAAAAAUAAAAAACAACAAAAAUUUUAAAUCUGUUGUGCUAGGACUAUAAAAUUACUUAUGAUUAUUUAAUUAGACGCCUAUCAAUGAAUCGAUUUUAUAUAAGUCUUAUCAUUUUUUUCUUCCACUUAUAAUUCUCUCUCUUUCCCCCCUUUUUAAUAAUAUGAAUGUCCAUAACAAUAUAUACUGGAAUACCUGGACUACUUUAUCCUGUAUCAGUUGCCUCUCCUAGCAUAAUGAUCGAACAACUUUGACAACUAAACUUUAGACAAAUGAGAUAAAAUUACCUAAUAUUUUCUUAUCUUUAUCCUAGUUUAGACUCUAAUUUUUUAUAAUUUUUAUUGGAUUUAUAGACUAUUAAGCCAUAUUUUUUAAUUCUAUUGUGCAAUUAUCUCGAAAACUCAAAGUAGAGUUUCACUUUAAUAACCCUCCAUUAUAGUGGCCUCUACAAUGUCAUUGUUAGAUUUAGAAUUUAAAUAAUGAUCAAUAAUCAAAAUCCUUGACUAAUGUCAUUUCACUUUGUGUGCAGAUUCACGACGACUCUAAUGAAUACAAGAAAGGAAAGAAGCAUAUCAGGGAGAGCCAACAUGUACGCUAUUCAAACUCCUUGUUAAAUGAAUACCAAGAUGGUAGAAGAUUCAAUCAAUCAAGCAACAAGGAAGAAAAGAGAAUCAAUCAAAAAUUCUCGAGCAUACAAGGAAGGAAAGAGAACCGAUCAAGCGAAAUAUGCGAAAGUUCUCAAGAAAAGUUAAUUGGAAAGAUAAAGGAGCCAAACUUCAAAUUGAGAAUGAAUAUGGCCAUACCUCUCAAACUAGACUCAUGAGGCUAUACUUGGGUCCUACUCUUAAAAGAUUAUGCCUUACAAGGAAAAUACCUCCAAUCAGUGAUCUUUUGCAAUCCCAGAAAAGAGAUAUCUGAAGCCUCAUCGAGCACUAUUAAAGAAGAAGUGGAAGGACAAGAAAGUUAAUGCAACUUAACACCGAUUUCAAUACUUUUCUAUUUCUUAGUACAAUAUUCUUGAGUUAAUAAGUGUCACAAAAGAAAGGAAGAGUUAGAAAAUAAAAUAUGAGAUGUGUCAAAGUUAGACAAAUAGUGUAGCUGAAU
rnacentral:lncRNA from 1 species